ACAUUCCAAAAUUUUACUUCAAGCCACAGUAGCCUAA
rnacentral:snRNA from 1 species